CAAUAGCGUAUAUUAAAGUUGUUGCGGUUAAAAAGCUCGUAGUUGGAGUUCUGCCAGGUGCCGCCUGUCCGCCCCAGUGGUGAGUACGUGGCGCGCAUUUGGCCCUUUCAAGGGGAGCGUAUCUGCACUUUAUUGUGUGGUGCGGGAUCCUUGACUUUUACUUUGAGGAAAUAGGAGUGUUCCAAGCAGGCUCUCGUCGUGCACAGCUCAGCAUGGAAUAAUAGCAUUGGACCUCGAUUCUAAGCUGUUGGUUGCCAGAAGCGAGGUAAUGAUGAAGAGGGGUAGUUGGGGGCAUUCGUAUUUAACUGUCAGAGGUGAAACUCUUGGAUUUGUUAAAGACGGACUACUGCGAAAGCAUCUGCCAUGGAUGUUUUCAUUGA
rnacentral:rRNA from 1 species